GUGCCGAGAGAUAACAUCUCCACAAUAUUACUGCAGGUUAAAAGUGAAGGAUUACAACCACUAACGGAACCCAAACUUCGGAUAAAAAGACAAAAGGGUGGCUCCAUGUUUGAUAUAGGAAUGGACCAAAGUAAAGCGUUUCGAAUGUGG